UACGAAGGGUGCAAGCGUUAAUCGGAAUUACUGGGCGUAAAGCGCACGCAGGCGGUCCCAUUAGUCUGUAGGGACAGGGCACGGCUCAACCGUGUCAGGCUUACGGAAACUGUGGGACUUGAGGGCUUCAGAGGGAUGGGGAAUUCCGGGUGGAGUGGUGAAAUGCGUAGAGAUCCGGAAGAACACCAAAGGCGAAGGCACCAUCCUGGGGAGUCACUGACGCUCGGGUGCGAAAGCUAGGGGAGCGAACGGG
rnacentral:rRNA from 1 species